GGGGUCGUUAUGGAUUCGACGGGUAUAGGUCGAGCCUGGACUGCGUUUCGUGCGGUGCCACGUUAAACCACCCAGUUUAAAAUUAUAACUGCAAAAAAUAAUUCAAACUCUUACGCUUUAGCUGCCUAAUAAGCGCUUAACGUAGAUCCUCCUAUCUUCGCCCAUGAGAUAGAUCUGGGUCCUAUAAAUAAGUGGGCUUACGCAAUUGGCUCCCAUCUGAAGUCAAUUGAAGAGACUAAUCAGAUUAGCUAAUAACGAGAGCCUUGAUUUAUGGCGUUUUUAUUAGUGAAAUUUAAAUAGUAAAUCUAUGAACGUAGAUGUUCAGGUGGCGAUAUGCUCGGACGCGGGUUCGACUCCCGCCGACUCCAUUU
rfam:Lactobacillus senioris DSM 24302 = JCM 17472 strain DSM 24302 NODE_26, whole genome shotgun sequence.